rnacentral:rRNA from 1 species
GACGAACGCUGGCGGCGUGCCUAAUACAUGCAGGUAGAACGCUGAAGGAGGAGCUUGCUCUUCUGGAUGAGUUGCGAACGGGUGAGUAACGCGUAGGUAACCUGCCUGGUAGCGGGGGAUAACUAUUGGAAACGAUAGCUAAUACCGCAUAAUAGUAGAUGUUGCAUGAUAUUUACUUAAAAGGUGCAAUUGCACCACUACCAGAUGGACCUGCGUUGUAUUAGCUAGUUGGUGGGGUAACGGCUCACCAAGGCGACGAUACAUAGCCGACCUGAGAGGGUGAUCGGCCACACUGGGACUGAGACACGGCCCAGACUCCUACGGGAGGCAGCAGUAGGGAAUCUUCGGCAAUGGACGAAAGUCUGACCGAGCAACGCCGCGUGAGUGAAGAAGGUUUUCGGAUCGUAAAGCUCUGUUGUAAGAGAAGAACGAGUGUGAGAGUGGAAAGUUCACACUGUGACGGUAUCUUACCAGAAAGGGACGGCUAACUACGUG